rnacentral:lncRNA from 1 species
CUACAGAGGCAGGCAGGCCUCCUUGAGCUGUGGUGGGCUCCACCCAGUUGGAGCUUCCCGGCUGCUUUGUUUACCUAAUCAAGCCUGGGCAAUGGCGGGCGCCCCUCCCCCAGCCUCGCUGCCGCCUUGCAGUUUGAUCUCAGACUGCUGUGCUAGCAAUCAGCGAGACUCCAUGGGCGUAGGACCCUCCAAGCCAGUGAGAUGAACCCGGUACCUCAGAUGGAAAUGCAGAAAUCACCCGUCUUCUGCAUCGCUCACGCUGGGAGCUGUAGACCGGAGCUGUUCCUAUUCGGCCAUCUUGGCUGCUCCCCCACUUCCUUGCUUUUUUAAGGGAUCCCUUCAGAUGAGGAGACGGAAGUCCAGAGGGUUUCAAUCGCUUGCCCAAAGUCACAGAGUCGGGAAGUGCAGAGCCAGGCCACUGCCUGGUUUUAAAUUCUGGGUGGAAAUGCAACGUGCCGGUCAACAUGGUGUGCUGAUGUUUCUGCCCUCUGGGGCCAAUUCCACCACUCCCUGGAAAGUGAUGUGAUGACCCUGGGCUUGAGUCCAAAGAACAUAGGAGAGUUUUGGCAGGUCGAUGGUGUGUUGGUGCCAACCCACUUAGAGCGAAAACUGUUUAAACCAGUUUUAAUUGGAUUUCCCUCACUUGCAACAAGGAAGACCUGAAUAAUAUUGCUUCUGUCUGUAUGUCCAAAUACUUUCAUUUUUCAAGAAGCAAUGUUAUACCAACGUCAGAACAAAGGAACACUUUAUGCUGAUCC